rfam:Hordeum vulgare subsp. vulgare, WGS project CAJW01000000 data, contig: morex_contig_73774
GAAACUAAGCAGAGGUCCGAACCGACUGAUGUUGAAGAAUCAGCGGAUGAGUUGUGGUUAGGGGUGAAAUGCCACUCGAACCCAAAGCUAGCUAG